rnacentral:rRNA from 1 species
UACGAAGGGGGCUAGCGUUGCUCGGAAUCACUGGGCGUAAAGCGCACGUAGGCGGAUCUUUAAGUCAGGGGUGAAAUCCCAAGGCUCAACCUUGGAACUGCCUUUGAUACUGGGGAUCUCGAGUCCGGGAGAGGUGAGUGGAACUGCGAGUGUAGAGGUGAAAUUCGUAGAUAUUCGCAAGAACACCAGUGGCGAAGGCGGCUCACUGGCCCGGAACUGACGCUGAGGUGCGAAAGCGUGGGGAGCGAACGGG